AGCAAGUCAUCUCAUCAGGGCAAAGGUUCAAUGAAAGGAGGCCGUUGAGGAUCUCUAUGGUUUAUUUUCUGGAAAUGACUUGAUGCUUCUAAAGAAUUAAAAGUAUUUUGCUUCUAAA